AGCGAACGCUGGCGGCAGGCCUAAAACAUGCAAGUCGAACGCCCUAGCAAUAGGGAGUGGCGCACGGGUGAGUAACAUGUGGGAAUAUGCCUUUUGGUACGGAACAACGUUUGGAAACGAACGCUAAUACCGUAUGGUCCCUCCGGGGUAAAGAUUUAUCGCCAAAAGAUUAGCCCGCACUAGAUUAGCUAGUUGGUAAGGUAAUGGCUUACCAAGGCGACGAUCUAUAGCUGUUCUGAGAGGAAGAUCAGCCACACUGGGACUGAGACACGGCCCAGACUCCUACGGGAGGCAGCAGUUAGGAAUAUUGGACAAUGGGCGCAAGCCUGAUCCAGCCAUGCCGCGUGAGUGAUGAAGGCCUUCGGGUUGUAAAGCUCUUUAGCCGACGAAUAUAAUGACUGUAGUCGGAGAAUAAGCCCCGGCUAACUUCGUGCCAGCAGCCGCAGUAAUAC
rnacentral:rRNA from 1 species